UACGGGGGGGGCUAGCGUUGUCCGGAAUCAUUGGGCGUAAAGCGCGUGUAGGCGGUCCGGUAAGUCCGCUGUGAAAGUCGGGGGCUCAACCCUCGGAUGCCGGUGGAUACUGUCGGGCUUGAGUACGGAAGAGGCGAGUGGAAUUCCUGGUGUAGCGGUGAAAUGCGCAGAUAUCAGGAGGAACACCAAUUGCGAAGGCAGCUCGCUGGGACGUUACUGACGCUGAGACGCGAAAGCGUGGGGAGCAAACAGG
rnacentral:rRNA from 1 species